CACGCGAGAUAACUGGCUUGCACCUUGUUGGGUUUUUUCAAGGGCAGAGGGGAGAUUCCUGGCGUGCAUCUACUUAAUUUGAAGAAGAACAUCACCUGUCUGCUUAAGUUCUGGUCAAGGGGCUCAUCGGCUAUCAAGUUAUAGAUUUCAGUGGCUAAUAGAAGACACUGCUGAGGUCAGACGAGAGUGCAUCCUCAAAGGUCUGUGUGUACCUAAAUGAAGAUCCAGAGAAGCUGGUGAGGGAGUACAUGGACGUUGAUGAAUGUGCAGAAAUGGCCAAAGCCGAGACUGUCCUCGGAAUCGUCAUUUGAGCAGAGGUGCAGAGGCUGCCGAUGCACAUCUGGAUGUUGGGAUUGUCCUGGAGGAGGUGGAAGUUAUGAACAGCUUGGGCAGUGUAUCUUCUGCAAUAGUGAUGCUGCUGGGACUAAUCUACGCACUAAACUUGAGCUACCCUCAAGUUUAGUGUGUUCAGCACUCAACUUGCUCAGUAACUCAAGCAUACCUUUGAAGUAAUACAGAAAAUAAUAAUGAAAUUGGAUGGAAAGAACUUAUCAAAGAAAGCACAAGUUCUCAAUAUGAAACUCGCCGCUAAGUUGAGU